GACGAACGCUGGCGGCGUGCUUAACACAUGCAAGUCGAACGGAAAGGCCCUGCUUUUGUGGGGUGCUCGAGUGGCGAACGGGUGAGUAACACGUGAGUAACCUGCCCUUGACUUUGGGAUAACUUCAGGAAACUGGGGCUAAUACCGGAUAGGAGCUCCUGCUGCAUGGUGGGGGUUGGAAAGUUUCGGCGGUUGGGGAUGGACUCGCGGCUUAUCAGCUUGUUGGUGGGGUAGUGGCUUACCAAGGCUUUGACGGGUAGCCGGCCUGGGAGGGUGACCGGCCACAUUGGGACUGAGAGACGGCCCAGACGCCUACGGGAGGCAGCAGUGGGGAAUAUUGCACAAUGGGCGGAAGUCUGAUGCAGCGACGCCGCGGGCGGGAUGACGGUCUGCGGGGUGUAAAACGCUUUCGCCUGUGACGAAGCGUGAGUGACGGUAAUGGGUAAAGAAGCACCGGCUAACUACGUG
rnacentral:rRNA from 1 species